AGUAUAUAUUAUAUAUAAUGAUUAAUAAUUAAUAUACGUAACAAGUAAUUACUUACAUCUAUGUAUUCCCAUUAAUAUAAUACAUGAUUUUUAACAGGAAUAAUAGGAUAUUAGCAAUAACAGAAUAGGAAUAAUAAUAAUAAUAGCAUGUAGUGAUAUAUUACUGUGCUUAUUAUUAUUGUUAUAAUAAUUACUACUCCUAGUACUCAUUUACUGAGGCUUGUACAGGUCAAGCUGCGUGGCCCGGCUGUGGUCGCAGGCCCGUUGGCAGAGGUCUCGUGACAGGUUGGCCGAGGAAGCGUAACGAUCCCCUUGCUCCCAGCCGCGCUCCCUCAGGCCAAGGCGGCCGCACUUGGCAGCGCCGUGCGGGGAGGAGUCCGUCCCCAGUCCAGGCACAGACACCCUUUGCCAGGCUGAGGAAGCAUCUGCAGUUGGUGUGUGCUCUUCCUGGAUGGAAUGAGUAAUAAAGAAGCCGGAGGCUGAUAGACCUUGGGAUCAAGACAAAUACGAUUUGGCUGCUAAUGGAUAGCACCAGAUGGAGUUCUUUUCCAUUUCUUAAAUAACUAAAGUGGACAAUUUUGGUAUUCACCAACAGCAGAUAGUACACACAAGCACUUGGCAGUGGUGGAUAUUACCAUAAUGGGGAUGACAACUAUAGAAACACAGACGACGAGCAAGGAGCACAGAUCCACACAGGAGAUUAUUUUGGUGCACGUCACUCCCACAAUGUACCGCACAAAAUCAGCUGACUGCGGGCUUCCACCACACCAAUCGCGUAAGAGUGAAUUUACCUAGCAUAUAAUGAAUUUUUGUUAUAAAAAGGGUCAUCGCAUAAGAGUGAAUGCGCACAUAACAGAACCUGCAUAAAGCGAGGGGAAACCUUGCCCAGAGCAUCCUCCAUUGUGGUACACAGAAGAUCUCUGGUGUUUCUCAUUAAAAUGGGUCACAGCUUAUAGAGGAGUAAGGCUGGACGAAACCUCAAGAGAUCAUCACAUCCAGCGGGGAAUAGAUAGAACCCAUGACCUUAGCACCGCGCUCUAACCAACUCUCACCGUACAAACCAGGAAAUCAUUUGUCCUCUCCUCUCCCAUUCGAUAGGAGCUAGGAGCAUCGUGGGCGGUUAGCACCGAGCACUGUGUUUGAUUUCCUCUUGUUUUGGAAUUCGUUACAAGUUUUCCUGAGUCACUGAAACACUCGGUGAAGUAAGCUGGCUCUAAGUUUAGAGCUGUAUAUUGCUAUUCCUGGCCACCUGGGCUUUACAUUUCCUAACAAACAAUAGUCCUCUGCCAGUUCAGUCAGAAAGUUGUAGAUGGAGAUAGGUCCGUGACCAAGCUUGGCCUCUUGGAUUAAGACAAGGGGGGACUGUUCCUUUCUUAUCCUAAUUUUACUUGGCAAAGGCCCUUCAAAGAGACAGCUGGCUCUUUUGGCCUUGCUUGCUGGGUUCAAACUGGCUGCCCCUGGCCUGUAUAGCCACUGGAAGGCCCCGCUGUUCCAUCAGCAUCUACUGAGUGUCCUCUCUAGGUAGUCGUCCUUAGAUGUCUACACUUACUUUUUUCUCAGUCUGACACUUUCUACAGGGUGAGAUGAACCAUGCUGGCAGGGCAAACACUUUGAGCCCAAUCUGAUAUAUUGAAGUUCCUCUGCCCUUCCCCUGGCAAAAAUAAGAGGCUUGAAUGAGUAUUAUGGAAUAAAGCUUCACAGUUUGUCCGCUCACUUGUACACAUCAUUCCUUUUUCUCCUCCAGCUAAUCUUUGUUUCUCACUGUCAUACUUACAGUUCUGCUUUCUUUUCCUCCACCUCGUUUUUUCUUUUUUUUUUCUGUUGCUCUGCCUCCUUUUUCAUCCCCCUAUUUAAUUUUGCUUUGUGAUUUAGCCUUGAUUUCUGAAUAAUCAUCUCUAUUUAGGUACUCUAUCCUUCUGCCAGUAUAUUGUGCAUCUAUUAGAAUAUUGAUUGCUAGAGAGUAAAGUAUAAAAAAAUCAAUAUUCCAUUAAAGGGAGUGGAGUGAUGGUCAAAUUCUCUUGGGGUAGCAUCUAAAACUAAAAGUAUAUUUUUCUGCAGACUGUCUAUGCUACAUAGAUAGAAGAGAGAGAAAGGAGGUGUGUAUUUUUUUUGCAUUCAUGACUAGAAGACCAUGGGGAAAAAAGGUGGCACAAUGGAAAGAUGUGUUUUGAUUUAUUCUGCCAGCUGCAGUUUAGUGUUAUCUAUAACACUAAACUGCAAAUCAGAAUUCAGAUUCUAUAACAAAUGUUAUAGAAUUUGCAAAUAAAAUCAAAUUCUAUAACAGUAUAAAAGUAAAUGUGUUGUCUGUCAUGUACUUAGUAAAAAUAUUGCAAUCUUAGUAAUCUGAUAUUUUACUACAGUGUCUGCUGCUAAAUUCUUGCAGAGAAGUGUGGAAAGACCACUGAUUUUAUCAAUAUGAAAUAUAUGCAGAGUGCAUAUAUACAUAAUACGCAUGCAUUUACCAACCACCUUUGUCUGCCUCACCUGCCCUCUGAUCUGUCCAUGAGGACUACUUCUAACUCUGAAGUUGGACCACACUAACUCUGAAGUUGCUAUCAAAGAUCUGUAUUUCUGCCCCACUUUCCAUCUGUAUCACAUGACUGCCCCCAAAGGUUCCUCAGCACAGUCCACUCACAAGUUGUUUCAUUAGAAGAAGACAACCUGAUUCACUCCCUGGUUAGUGAUGGACCAGUAAGCAACAUCCUGUUCUCUCCUGAGAUACUGAGCAGUCUUGCUGGCUCUUUUAUUCCCUUCUGCCCUCCUUUAUUCUGAACUGUGGAGUCAAGACCAAUAUAUAACAGGAGUUUUCAAACUUUUUAAAGAA